rnacentral:rRNA from 1 species
ACGCGCGGAACCUUACCAGGUCUUGACAUCCCAUUGACCGCUAUGGAGACAUAGCUUUCCCUUCGGGGACAGUGGUGACAGGUGGUGCAUGGUUGUCGUCAGCUCGUGUCGUGAGAUGUUGGGUUAAGUCCCGCAACGAGCGCAACCCUUGUUCUUAGUUGCCAUCAUUUAGUUGGGCACUCUAAGGAGACUGCCGGUGACAAACCGGAGGAAGGUGGGGAUGACGUCAAAUCAUCAUGCCCCUUAUGACCUGGGCUACACACGUGCUACAAUGGACGGUACAAACGGUUGCCAACCCGCGAGGGGGAGCUAAUCCGAUAAAACCGUUCUCAGUUCGGAUUGUAGGCUGCAACUCGCCUGCAUGAAGCUGGAAUCGCUAGUAAUCGCGGAUCAGCAUGCCGCGGUGAAUACGUUCCCGGGCCUUGCACACACCGCCCGU